rnacentral:sRNA from 1 species
CUUUUGGCUUGGAGGGCUUCGGCCUUCACGGCUGGCGCAGCCUGGAUUCCCGUCCGGAGGACCUGGCGGCACCCGGUGUUUGCGUGCCUGCGAGCAAGGGUUUUCAGUGACUCCAUUGAUGAUGCAUGCGGUUUGGCCGUAUCAUAUUGAGCUUUCAACACAAGAUUUAUAAACAUGUUUGCUGGCCUAGACCUGAACUCUUCAGAUAAUCAGAGUGGAGGAAGUACAGCCAGCAAAGGGCGCUAUAUUCCUCCUCAUUUAAGGAACCGAGAAGCUACUAAAGGUUUCUACGAUAAAGACAGUUCAGGGUGGAGUUCUAGCAAAGAUAAGGAUGCGUAUAGCAGUUUUGGAUCUCGUAGUGAUUCAAGAGGGAAGUCUAGCUUCUUCAGUGAUCGUGGAAGUGGAUCAAGGGGAAGAUUUGAUGAUCGUGGACGGAGUGAUU